AACGCUGAAGGAGGAGCUUGCCCUUCUGGAUGAGUUGCGAACGGGUGAGUAACGCGUAGGUAACCUGCCUGGUAGCGGGGGAUAACUAUUGGAAACGAUAGCUAAUACCGCAUAACAGUAGAUGUUGCAUGACAUUUACUUAAAAGGUGCAAUUGCACCACUACCAGAUGGACCUGCGUUGUAUUAGCUAGUUGGUGGGGUAACGGCUCACCAAGGCGACGAUACAUAGCCGACCUGAGAGGGUGAUCGGCCACACUGGGACUGAGACACGGCCCAGACUCCUACGGGAGGCAGCAGUAGGGAAUCUUCGGCAAUGGACGGAAGUCUGACCGAGCAACGCCGCGUGAGUGAGGAAGGUUUUCGGAUCGUAAAGCUCUGUUGUAAGAGAAGAACGAGUGUGAGAGUGGAAAGUUCACACUGUGACGGUAUCUUACCAGAAAGGGACGGCUAACUACGUGCCAGCAGCCGCGGUAAUACGUAGGUCCCGAGCGUUGUCCGGAUUUAUUGGGCGUAAAGCGAGCGCAGGCGGUUAGAUAAGUCUGAAGUUAAAGGCUGUGGCUUAACCAUAGUACGCUUUGGAAACUGUUUAACUUGAGUGCAAGAGGGGAGAGUGGAAUUCCAUGUGUAGCGGUGAAAUGCGUAGAUAUAUGGAGGAACACCGGUGGCGAAAGCGGCUCUCUGGCUUGUAACUGA
rnacentral:rRNA from 1 species